UUGGAGUGGGACCUUCCAUCGAACUCACCUCUUGCCUUUUACCAGAUGUGACCGUGGGAUUGGCCCAGCGAACUCCGUUCUCCCAAUCUUUGGCACUACUCGUCUGGAGUCU
rfam:Isaria fumosorosea ARSEF 2679 scaffold_1, whole genome shotgun sequence.